ensembl:lncRNA
GGAAAUGUAUUUCAUUCUGUUAUGGCUUUUGCUUCCCGUAGGAGGUAUUACUUUUAAUUUAUUGAAUAAACCUUUCUGAAAUGUAUUCCCAUAAGAGUUUAGGUGCAAUAGAGUCUCUGGGCAAGUUGUCCAGGAGGUCUCACCAUCUUCUCUUUUUAGCAGAGACGCAGCUGUUUUUAUAUACAGCGACAUUAAGCUCAGGAGAAAGUCGACACUCCCAUUAAAUGGGAAAACUGGAUGCUAAAGAAUGGUGUAACUUCUCAAAUAUUGUUGUGCUAAUCGUGGGCUUUUCUGAGCUUCUGGAACGCGUUGGUCUACGCCUGCUCUCCUGCAUCUUCUCAUCUUGUCCUUGGAGAAUGAUUUUGGUAAGCCUGGGUUGAGCUGGCAGAGGCUUUGUGAGGCUUCUGACACUGAGUAUGGAAGUGGAUUGAAAGAAGGAUCCUUCCUACAGUAGCAUAAAGCCUUGAUGGCUCAGAGUUGUAACUUUUUCUGGUUUCAAUGGAUGCUUUUUUUUCCUUGAAUGGGUAAGAAAGUAGGAGGAGAAAAACAGGGACUGUGUAUGAUGUCUGCGUGGCUGAAAUAGAAGGAAAUAAAGUUGGGGAGGAGAAUGAAAGAGCGUAACUAUGUAGCUGAUAACAGGCUGGCAAACAGCUUUACCAUGGAUGUGCUACUAUAGAUGGGAAGUGCAGAGCUCAGACUGCUGCCAGCCUGCGCUUCUCUGUCCUGUCAUGUAUUUCACUGGACCCAGGUGUACAGCGUGGCUGCUCUGUGCAUCACAACUCUGCCUACCGUGCAGCCUGGCCAUCAGGGAUGGGAGGUGGGUGUUUGGUGCUGCCCUGUUUGUCCCGGUGGGCUUCCGUGCUGCCUUGCAUGCUCCGAGUGGGUCUCACCAUUGCCUGUGUAAGUGAGAGCAUCGGGAGCUUCUGAGUCACUGUGGAAAGUUAACCUUGAGCUUCAAAGUGGUUGAGAAGUUUUCACUCUGGGUGCUUUUUAUCUUUGCUUUUUCCUAUACUUUUUCUUCCUUCCUACUUUCUGGCAUUCAAUGUGACAUUCAGCUGUAUGCCUUUUCUGGGGCUGAAGAUAGCAGCCUAAAGAUAUCACUUGAAUUGCAGUUGAAAAGAGUGAGAUUGCUGCAGUGGGUUAUAUAUUCUUGGAUUCCUUACUGUUUCCAUGGAAUACACUCUUUUGGGUCACUUAAUAACCAUAUUGCUGUGCUAGUGUCUGGGCAUUCUAGUUAAAACAGGACCAAAAUAUUUGUAGGAAAACAGGAGCUCCUCUUGUUCUGGAUCUAACUCAAACAGAUGGACUAGAAGGAGUGGGAAAAGGAGCAAUAUGGUUGGCAGCAUCUGGGGCAAAUAAAAACAAAGCCAGAAGGGAUGAAUUAGUUGUGAUGCUCACAAGGGGAGCGGGAAAGACUUGUGUAGAAGACUGAUAGCAGAGGAUGCUACAUAGAGGCAUUCUUGCUGGUCCCGCUUGAGAGAAAAUCCAAGGCUAGGGAAGACAUAGCAGAAAAGCAAGGAGGAGUCUGGUUGGUGUUUUCCUUGGAGCCAGUGAUAAAGUACAAGGGAGCAAGAGAAGAGAUCUUCCUCCAGGACUGAGGGCAGUGCAGCAGAAGCAAUAGCUGAGCCCUGUUGAGGGCACAAAACAAGCAGCUUGUGGGGAAUGUAAUGGGACUUCCUGUAGG